GCCUGGCUGGCUCACAGGUAGAGCAUGUGACUCUUGAUCUCGGGGUUGUAAGUUCGAGCCUCACAUUGGGUA
rnacentral:tRNA from 1 species